rnacentral:rRNA from 1 species
UACGUAGGGCGCAAGCGUUGUCCGGAAUUAUUGGGCGUAAAGAGCUCGUAGGCGGCCUGUUGCGUCCGCUGUGAAAGCCCCGGGCUCAACCUGGGAAUGGCAUUGGAAACUGGCGGACUAGAGUGUGGCAGAGGGGGGUGGAAUUCCGCGUGUAGCAGUGAAAUGCGUAGAGAUGCGGAGGAACACCGAUGGCGAAGGCAGCCCCCUGGGCUAACACUGACGCUCAGGCACGAAAGCGUGGGGAGCAAACAGGG